GGCUCGCAGGCGGUUUCUUAAGUCUGAUGUGAAAGCCCCCGGCUCAACCGGGGAGGGUCAUUGGAAACUGGGAAACUUGAGUGCAGAAGAGGAGAGUGGAAUUCCACGUGUAGCGGUGAAAUGCGUAGAGAUGUGGAGGAACACCAGUGGCGAAGGCGACUCUCUGGUCUGUAACUGACGCUGAGGAGCGAAAGCGUGGGGAGCGAACAGGAUUAGAUACCCUGGUAGUCCACGCCGUAAACGAUGAGUGCUAAGUGUUAGGGGGUUUCCGCCCCUUAGUGCUGCAGCUAACGCAUUAAGCACUCCGCCUGGGGAGUACGGUCGCAAGACUGAAACUCAAAGGAAUUGACGGGGGCCCGCACAAGCGGUGGAGCAUGUGGUUUAAUUCGAAGCAACGCGAAGAACCUUACCAGGUCUUGACAUCCUCUGACAACCCUAGAGAUAGGGCUUUCCCUUCGGGGACAGAGUGACAGGUGGUGCAUGGUUGUCGUCAGCUCGUGUCGUGAGAUGUUGGGUUAAGUCCCGCAACGAGCGCAACCCUUGAUCUUAGUUGCCAG
rnacentral:rRNA from 1 species